UACGUAGGGUGCAAGCGUUGUCCGGAAUUAUUGGGCGUAAAGAGCUCGUAGGCGGUUUGUCGCGUCUGCUGUGAAAACGCGAGGCUCAACCUCGCGCCUGCAGUGGGUACGGGCAGACUAGAGUGCGGUAGGGGAGAUUGGAAUUCCUGGUGUAGCGGUGGAAUGCGCAGAUAUCAGGAGGAACACCGAUGGCGAAGGCGGCUCACUGGCCCGGAACUGACGCUGAGGCACGAAAGCGUGGGGAGCAAACAGG
rnacentral:rRNA from 1 species